rnacentral:rRNA from 1 species
CUACUCCAACCCAUUGUGACCUUACCUAUGUUCUGUUGCCUCGGCGGCGUGGUCAGCGCCCCUCUGAAAAGAGGACGAUGCCCUCCCGCCGGCAGCACCAAACUCUUUGAAUUUUACAGCGGAUUACAGUUCUGAUUUGAAAACAAAAAAACAAGUUAAAACUUUCAACAACGGAUCUCUUGGUUCUGGCAUCGAUGAAGAACGCAGCGAAAUGCGAUAAGUAAUGUGAAUUGCAGAAUUCAGUGAAUCAUCGAAUCUUUGAACGCACAUUGCGCCCGGCAGUAAUCUGCCGGGCAUGCCUGUCCGAGCGUCAUUUCAACCCUCGAACCUCCGUUUCCUCAGGGAAGCUCAGGGUCGGUGUUGGGGCGCUACGGCGAGUCUUCGCGACCCUCCGUAGGCCCUGAAAUACAGUGGCGGUCCCGCCGCGGUUGCCUUCUGCGUAGUAAGUCUCUUUUGCAAGCUCGCAUUGGGUCCCGGCGGAGGCCUGCCGUCAAACCACCUAUAACUCCAGAUGGUUUGACCUCGGAUCAGGUAGGGUUACCCGCUGAACUUAAGCAUAUCAAUAAGCGGAGGUAAAAG